rnacentral:rRNA from 1 species
AUCGUACCCCAAACCGACACAGGUGGUCAGGUAGAGAAUACCAAGGCGCUUGAGAGAACUCGGGUGAAGGAACUAGGCAAAAUGGUGCCGUAACUUCGGGAGAAGGCACGCUGACACGUAGGUGAAGUGAUUUACUCAUGGAGCUGAAGUCAGUCGAAGAUACCAGCUGGCUGCAACUGUUUAUUAAAAACACAGCACUGUGCAAACACGAAAGUGGACGUAUACGGUGUGACGCCUGCCCGGUGCCGGAAGGUUAAUUGAUGGGGUCAGCGCAAGCGAAGCUCCUGAUCGAAGCCCCGGUAAACGGCGGCCGUAACUAUAACGGUCCUAAGGUAGCGAAAUUCCUUGUCGGGUAAGUUCCGACCUGCACGAAUGGCGUAAUGAUGGCCAGGCUGUCUCCACCCGAGACUCAGUGAAAUUGAACUCGCUGUGAAGAUGCAGUGUACCCGCGGCAAGACGGAAAGACCCCGUGAACCUUUACUAUAGCUUGACACUGAACAUUGAGCCUUGAUGUGUAGGAUAGGUGGGAGGCUUUGAAGUGUGGACGCCAGUCUGCAUGGAGCCGACCUUGAAAUACCACCCUUUAAUGUUUGAUGUUCUAACGUGGACCCGUGAUCCGGGUUGCGGACAGUGUCUGGUGGGUAGUUUGACUGGGGCGGUCUCCUCCUAAAGAGUAACGGAGGAGCACGAAGGUUGGCUAAUCCUGGUCGGACAUCAGGAGGUUAGUGCAAUGGCAUAAGCCAGCUUGACUGCGAGCGUGACGGCGCGAGCAGGUGCGAAAGCAGGUCAUAGUGAUCCGGUGGUUCUGAAUGGAAGGGCCAUCGCUCAACGGAUAAAAGGUACUCCGGGGAUAACAGGCUGAUACCGCCCAAGAGUUCAUAUCGACGGCGGUGUUUGGCACCUCGAUGUCGGCUCAUCACAUCCUGGGGCUGAAGUAGGUCCCAAGGGUAUGGCUGUUCGCCAUUUAAAGUGGUACGCGAGCUGGGUUUAGAACGUCGUGAGACAGUUCGGUCCCUAUCUGCCGUGGGCGCUGGAGAACUGAGGGGGGCUGCUCCUAGUACGAGAGGACCGGAGUGGACGCAUCACUGGUGUUCGGGUUGUCAUGCCAAUGGCACUGCCCGGUAGCUACAUGCGGAAGAGAUAAGUGCUGAAAGCAUCUAAGCACGAAACUUGCCCCGAGAUGAGUUCUCCCUGAGACUUAGAGUCUCCUGAAGGAACGUUGAAGACGACGACGUUGAUAGGCCGGGUGUGUAAGCGCAGCGAUGCGUUGAGCUAACCGGUACUAAUGAACCGUGAGGCUUAACCUUACAACGCCGAAG